AGUGAACGCUGGCGGUAGGCCUAACACAUGCAAGUCGAACGGCAGCACAGGAGAGCUUGCUCUCUGGGUGGCGAGUGGCGGACGGGUGAGGAAUACAUCGGAAUCUACCUUUUCGUGGGGGAUAACGUAGGGAAACUUACGCUAAUACCGCAUACGACCUACGGGUGAAAGUGGGGGACCGCAAGGCCUCACGCGAUUAGAUGAGCCGAUGUCCGAUUAGCUAGUUGGCGGGGUAAUGGCCCACCAAGGCGACGAUCGGUAGCUGGUAUGAGAGGAUGAUCAGCCACACUGGAACUGAGACACGGUCCAGACUCCUACGGGAGGCAGCAGUGGGGAAUAUUGGACAAUGGGCGCAAGCCUGAUCCAGCCAUACCGCGUGGGUGAAGAAGGCCUUCGGGUUGUAAAGCCCUUUUGUUGGGAAAGAAAUCCUGUCGAUUAAUACUCGGUGGGGAUGACGGUACCCAAAGAAUGAGCACCGGCUAACUUCGUGCCAGCAGCCGCCGUAAGAC
rnacentral:rRNA from 1 species